UUAAAUAAAACCAAAAUAGAGGUAUAUCACUGUUAAUGAUAAAAAUGAAAAAAUUCUAUUUAAA
rnacentral:tRNA from 1 species